UGGAAGUAAAAGUCGUAACAAGGUCUCCGUUGGUGAACCAGCGGAGGGAUCAUUACCGAGUUUACAACUCCCAAACCCAAUGUGAACGUUACCAAACUGUUGCCUCGGCGGGAUCUCUGCCCCGGGUGCGUCGCAGCCCCGGACCAAGGCGCCCGCCGGAGGACCAACCAAAACUCUUAUUGUAUACCCCCUCGCGGGUUUUUUUAUAAUCUGAGCCUUCUCGGCGCCUCUCGUAGGCGUUUCGAAAAUGAAUCAAAACUUUCAACAACGGAUCUCUUGGUUCUGGCAUCGAUGAAGAACGCAGCGAAAUGCGAUAAGUAAUGUGAAUUGCAGAAUUCAGUGAAUCAUCGAAUCUUUGAACGCACAUUGCGCCCGCCAGUAUUCUGGCGGGCAUGCCUGUCCGAGCGUCAUUUCAACCCUCGAACCCCUCCGGGGGGUCGGCGUUGGGGAUCGGCCCUCCCUUAGCGGGUGGCCGUCUCCGAAAUACAGUGGCGGUCUCGCCGCAGCCUCUCCUGCGCAGUAGUUUGCACACUCGCAUCGGGAGCGCGGCGCGUCCACAGCCGUUAAACACCCA
rnacentral:rRNA from 1 species